GAACUGCGAUAAGUAAUGUGAAUUGCAGAAUUCAGUGAAUCAUCGAGUCUUUGAACGCACAUUGCGCCCCCUGGCAUUCCAGGGGGCAUGCCUGUCCGAGCGUCAUUGCUGCCCUUCAAGCCCGGCUUGUGUGUUGGGUCGUCGUCCCCUCCGGGGGACGGGCCCGAAAGGCAGCGGCGGCACCGCGUCCGGUCCUCGAGCGUAUGGGGCUUUGUCACCCGCUCGAUAAGGACCGGCCGGGCGCCAGCCGGCGUCUCCAACCUUUUUUUCUCAGGUUGACCUCGGAUCAGGUAGGGAUACCCGCUGAACUUAAGC
rnacentral:misc_RNA from 1 species